rnacentral:rRNA from 1 species
CCUACGGGAGGCAGCAGUGAGGAAUAUUGGUCAAUGGUCGGGAGACUGAACCAGCCAAGCCGCGUGAGGGAGGAAGGUACAGAGCAUCGUAAACCUCUUUUGUCAGGGGACAAAGUCAGGGACGAGUGCCCGGACGAGGGUACUUGAAGAAAAAGCAUCGGCUAACUCCGUGCCAGCAGCCGCGGUAAUACGGAGGAUGCGAGCGUUAUCCGGAUUUAUUGGGUUUAAAGGGUGCGUAGGCGGUCUGUUAAGUCAGCGGUAAAAGCCCGGGGCUCAACCCCGGCGAGCCGUUGAAACUGGCUGUCUCGAGAUGGAGAGAGGUAUGCGGAAUGCGCGGUGUAGCGGUGAAAUGCUUAGAUAUCGCGCAGAACUCCGAUUGCGAAGGCAGCAUGCCGGCUGCGAUCUGACGCUGAGGCACGAAAGCGUGGGUAUCGAACAGGAUUAGAUACCCUUGUAGUC